rnacentral:rRNA from 1 species
GUCCACGCCCUAAACGAUGUCUACUAGUUGUUGGUGGAGUAAAUCCAUGAGUAACGCAGCUAACGCGUGAAGUAGACCGCCUGGGGAGUACGGUCGCAAGAUUAAAACUCAAAUGAAUUGACGGGGGCCCGCACAAGCGGUGGAGUAUGUGGUUUAAUUCGACGCAACGCGAAAAACCUUACCUGGGCUCGAACGACUGAAAGUAAGAUCUAAGAAAUUACGAGAUGACCUGUAAAGUCAGGAGUCAGCCGAGGUGCUGCAUGGUUGUCGU